UACGUAGGGUGCAAGCGUUAAUCGGAAUUACUGGGCGUAAAGCGUGCGCAGGCGGUUGUGCAAGUCAGAUGUGAAAUCCCCGGGCUUAACCUGGGAACUGCAUUUGUGACUGCACGGCUAGAGUGUGUCAGAGGGAGGUAGAAUUCCACGUGUAGCAGUGAAAUGCGUAGAUAUGUGGAGGAAUACCGAUGGCGAAGGCAGCCUCCUGGGAUAACACUGACGCUCAUGCACGAAAGCGUGGGGAGCAAACAGG
rnacentral:rRNA from 1 species